rnacentral:tmRNA from 1 species
GGGGCUGAUUGGCUUUGACAGCGCGUAGAGGUGGUAAGUAAGCACGCAGAGGCAUGAUGGUGGUCCUCUUAAAUAUCCCACAUCAAACUAUUUUAAAUGGCGAAAACAACUACGCUCUUGCUGCCUAAUCGAAGUACAGUAGAUUAGCUUAAUCUCUGCCACAGUGGUGGAGACAAGACGUCGCCCGAUUGUUGUAUUUCCGAGACGUUUCGACCAGGCGGCGCAGAUAAAUCGGUUAUAGCUCGUAGGAAUCUCCGGCUUAUGAGCGAAAUUUAGGAGAUAAG